rnacentral:rRNA from 1 species
AGUAACGGCGAGUGAAGCGGUAAAAGCUCAAAUUUGAAAUCUAGCACUUUCAGUGUUCGAGUUGUAAUUUGAAGAAGGUAUCUUUGGAGUUGGCCCCCGUCUAUGUUCCUUGGAACAGGACGUCACAGAGGGUGAGAAUCCCGUGCGAUGGGGAGACCAAUUCUAUGUAAAGUUCCUUCGAAGAGUCGAGUUGUUUGGGAAUGCAGCUCUAAGUGGGUGGUAAAUUCCAUCUAAAGCUAAAUAUUGGCGAGAGACCGAUAGCGAACAAGUACAGUGAUGGAAAGAUGAAAAGAACUUUGAAAAGAGAGUGAAAAAGUACGUGAAAUUGUUGAAAGGGAAGGGCUUUUGAUCAGACUUGGUGUUUAGUACUCUCUACUCCUUGUGGGUGGGGCUCUUGCUUUAUACUGGGCCAGCAUCGGUUUGGAUGGCAGGAUAAUAGCAUUGGAAUGUGGCUUCAUUCGUGAAGUGUUAUAGCCUUUGUUGAUACUGCCUAUCUAGACCGAGGACUGCGUCUUUUGACUAGGAUGCUGGCGUAAUGAUUAAAAGCCGCCCGUCUG